GAUGAACGCUGGCGGCGUGCCUAAUACAUGCAAGUCGAGCGAACAGACGAGGAGCUUGCUCCUCUGACGUUAGCGGCGGACGGGUGAGUAACACGUGGAUAUCCUACCUAUAAGACUGGGAUAACUUCGGGAAACCGGAGCUAAUACCGGAUAAUAUAUUGAACCGCAUGGUUCAAUAGUGAAAGACGGUUUUGCUGUCACUUAUAGAUGGAUCCGCGCCGCAUUAGCUAGUUGGUAAGGUAACGGCUUACCAAGGCAACGAUGCGUAGCCGACCUGAGAGGGUGAUCGGCCACACUGGAACUGAGACACGGUCCAGACUCCUACGGGAGGCAGCAGUAGGGAAUCUUCCGCAAUGGGCGAAAGCUUGACGGAGCAACGCCGCGUGAGUGAUGAAGGUCUUCGGAUCGUAAAACUCUGUUAUUAGGGAAGAACAAAUGUGUAAGUAACUAUGCACGUCUUGACGGUACCUAAUCAGAAAGCCACGGCUAACUACGUG
rnacentral:rRNA from 1 species